rnacentral:SRP_RNA from 1 species
GGCCAGGUCCUAUGCAAUGCCGGACGGGUGAACCCCGCCAGGACCGGAAGGUAGCAACGGCAACCACGCUCCGCAUGUGCCGUAGGUAACCUGGCCGCA